rfam:Phaseolus vulgaris cultivar G19833 chromosome 4, whole genome shotgun sequence.
ACGCGGCUUAGUUAGGAGGCACACAUUAAUCGGAUCCGAAUUCGCGUUUGGAUCCCUUCAGAGAAAGGCCUUUUGAAUGGACUCUAUGCGUUUCUAAUCAAUUGUUCCUCAAGCAGCCUUUCACAUUU